rfam:Capsella rubella cultivar Monte Gargano unplaced genomic scaffold scaffold_6, whole genome shotgun sequence.
UUGCAGGAGCCCCCGGGCUACUCUGAUUUAUUUCAAUGAUAUGAAGAAAUAAGCCCCAAAGCUCCUGCUAAAUUAACUGACAUUCGUGUUGCAGUUCUGUCUCUUUUUGAAUCCGGCUUAACUGUGUCAAAGCAAUGUCUAGAUUU